GACGAACGCUGGCGGCGUGCUUAACACAUGCAAGUCGAACGGAAAGGCCCUGCUUUUGUGGGGUGCUCGAGUGGCGAACGGGUGAGUAACCCGUGAGUAACCUGCCCUUGACUUUGGGAUAACUUCAGGAAACUGGGGCUAAUACCGGAUAGGAGCUCCUGCUGCAUGGUGGGGGUUGGAAAGUUUCGGCGGUUGGGGAUGGACUCGCGGCUUAUCAGCUUGUUGGUGGGGUAGUGGCUUACCAAGGCUUUGACGGGUAGCCGGACUGAGAGGGUGACCGGCCACAUUGGGACUGAGAUACGGCCCAGACUCCUACGGGAGGCAGCAGUGGGGAAUAUUGCACAAUGGGCGGAAGCCUGAUGCAGCAACGCCGCGUGCGGGAUGACGGCCUUCGGGUUGUAAACCGCUUUCGCCUGUGACGAAGCGUGAGUGACGGUAAUGGGUAAAGAAGCACCGGCUAACUACGUG
rnacentral:rRNA from 1 species